GCUCAGGAUGAACGCUAGCUACAGGCUUAACACAUGCAAGUCGAGGGGUAGCAGGGUAGCAAUACCGCUGACGACCGGCGCACGGGUGAGUAACACGUAUCCAACCUUCCCAUAACUCAGGGAUAGCCUUUCGAAAGAAAGAUUAAUACCUGAUAGUACUUAUUAGAGGCAUCUUUUAUAAGUUAAAGAUUUAUUGGUUAUGGAUGGGGAUGCGUUCCAUUAGAUAGUUGGUGAGGUAACGGCUCACCAAGUCUUCGAUGGAUAGGGGUUCUGAGAGGAAGGUCCCCCACAUUGGUACUGAGACACGGACCAAACUCCUACGGGAGGCAGCAGUGAGGAAUAUUGGUCAAUGGGCG
rnacentral:rRNA from 1 species